GAAUGCUGACAUAAGUAACGAUAAAGCGGGUGAAAAGCCCGCUCGCCGGAAGACCAAGGGUUCCUGUCCAACGUUAAUCGGGGCAGGGUGAGUCGACCCCUAAGGCGAGGCCGAAAGGCGUAGUCGAUGGGAAACGGGUUAAUAUUCCCGUACUUGGUGUUACUGCGAAGGGGGGACGGAGAAGGCUAUGUUGGCCGGGCGACGGUUGUCCCGGUUUAAGCGUGUAGGUGUGUGUUCCAGGUAAAUCCGGUCCACUUUAACACUGAGGCGUGAUGACGAGGCACUACGGUGCUGAAGCAACAAAUGCCCUGCUUCCAGGAAAAGCCUCUAAGCAUCAGGUAACAUCAAAUCGUACCCCAAACCGACACAGGUGGUCAGGUAGAGAAUACCAAGGCGCUUGAGAGAACUCGGGUGAAGGAACUAGGCAAAAUGGUGCCGUAACUUCGGGAGAAGGCACGCUGACAC
rnacentral:rRNA from 1 species